UUCUUUUUUAUUGGUUUCUUAUUUUAGAGCUGUUUGUUCUCUUCUUGCUCAUUUUGUAUUGGGUUGUGCUUUGAAGUUGCCGGUCCUGGUAGGUCUUACUAUGGUGUUCUAUGGCGCGUCAUACUGGUAUCCGGAGUGUAAUAACGUUCAGGCAAGAUUUAUGGUAUUUCUUCCGCUUUUCCGUCUCCCGGUAUCAUGUUGGCAGGAGUGUUAAUGUUGGGAAUGACCCAUAUGGUUUAAGAUUUGUGAAGUUUUCUAUCAUGAGAUUGGCUCUUCCAGGCAAAGUAUGCUGGAAAAAGACAGUCCCUAAUGGAAACACCUACAGGUGCACUGGUGACUGCCCCUGCAGAGAAGAGAAGCACAGGUACAAGUUGCCCGUGAGCGCAAAAGAAAACAAACCAAAUGAAGAAAAUAAAGAGUUCAUAGGUGAAUUCAUGUUUUUUGGCGAUCACGGUAAAAUACUUAUAGGCCAUGAUGCAGAGCUGGUUGUUGCAACAGCCAGAGGAAAAGCAAGCGAUUUACCACCUGCUGUGCAGAAUGUCGUCGGCACAAAAUGUUUGGUCACUGCCUGUGUCACACAGGAAGCUUACGAAGCUGACAACAUCACGUCCGCUGAGUCCGAUGUCGUCAUCAAGCACAACAAAAACUACAUGGUGUCAAGAAAAAGCUCCGGCACCUUCCCCACCUGACGAAGUACCAAAUGGAACAGAAGAUACAAGAGAUUCAGGCUCCACGCCGAGCGAAAAGAUUAUAGAAAAAGGUUGAUCCGACAUCGAGGGCGUCAGCUUUGCAUCUGAAAAAAAAAGGAAGACUAAACAAGCAAAUUCAGCAUCAGCCAAGAAACAGAGAAGCAAAGCCUCAUGUUCAGCAACGGCUCGAUGCAGCCUGGAAGCUAUUAGCAGAAAGAAUUCCGUGUAGUGAAGAUUUCGCGUGCUACCACAGAUCAGUUAUGUAUUAUAUUACGGAACUACCGGUCAACCUAGACAACGUGUAAUUGAUGUACCGUAGUAGUAAGUACCAACCCAGCUGUGUGCAAUAACUUUAAAGCAUACUUCUAUGUCUC